ACAGACACACAGACACAAUUGGUCAGUUAUCGCAUAUAGCUUGUUUUAUAUCUCGAUUACUAUAAUAUCUAUGCGGUGGAGGGCAAAGUGAAGUUCUCAUUCGUACAAACGUCUCACUUCGUCGUACCUCCUUGCUAGCCGUUUUCAUGCAAAUAUAACAUCAAAAUCGUUCGAUUCUCUGUCGUUCUCUUUAUCUCGCAACUCGUUCGGCUCGAAAUCUUCACGCUUUAUCACCCGUUUUGGGCAGUGAUAAACGCGGAAAAUGGACUGCUCGAACACUCGUACCCCCACCGUGUACAGUUCGAGUACGUUCAACGCUGAUUUUACACUUGCGCAUGCGAAAGAAAAUACAAAGCUGAUGCACCGAUUAAACUACAUCCAAAUAGUGCAAUCCACGGUACGUCGAGAAGAACGAAGGAUACUCGAAACGGUGUGGGGUUGCCAACUCUUUCAGAAAAAACUGAUACCACUUUUCGAGCCAUUUGUGUUUGGACUUUGUUGCUGAUACAUUUAAGAGUCAUCUAUAUAUUUGUUCGUCUAUACUCACUCUGGUAGAGGGAGUUUUUUUUUAUAUUCCAUUGUGUUACAACCACCAAUCAACAGUUAUAUAUUGAUGAUAGAAUCAAAGGUGUACAUGAUAGAAAUGUGACGACAGAGUCACGUGAAAUUACAGAGGGUUUACAAAAUCAAUUAUAAUCAAUGAAAUCUUGAUGGUGUAUAUAAAUAAAAAUUCAAUCUGUGAUGCAAGCGAUUCGACUACCUGGAUUGUAGUCGUCUUAGCAUAAAAAUUGAUUGAUACAAAUGUGAGCGAAUACAAUGUUGAAGAUAAUACAAUAAGAAUUUUCAUUGAAAUUGAUUUUCAAAUAUAUACGGAAGAAGUAUGGUGCAAGUAACACAGGUGGAGGUUCAUAAUAUCCUCUAUUCGUACUCGUGUUGGCAACUCUACACGAAGCUGACUCAAACUGUGGAAGAAAAUAGUCGUGCGGGGUGGCAGCUUCUACGAAGCGUAUAAAGCGACUAAAGUCGUUCGAUCGGCAUUCGAUCCAACGAUGGGACAACUGCGCUGCAUUCGAGUCAUCGAUUGGACUGAAAGCCUGUGGUUAACAUUAAAGCUAUCAAGGUCACCGCAAUUCUGUUAUAUGUACAACUACAUCUUUGUAAUUAGAAGGAGAAAAUGCUAACUACUCAGACGCAUUGAAAAUUUCAAUGAUAUCUGAGGAUUCGAAUGCUUCGCUGGUCGACCAUGCUCUCAAUCACCGGAAGUCGGAAACUACAUUUAAGAAGACGUUACAAACUAUGUGCGAGCUUCCUUGCCAAUAAGCGAUGGAAAAGGAGAGAAGUUUGUAGAUGCAAGUAAGGUUCAAGGAAACUGGCGAGUGAAUGCUAAAAAGAAAUCCAAAGUGGUUCAACGACGAUAGUCGGAAAUCGAAGUAUACGUUUUACAGAGAAUCGGAAGACUUCCGUAAUAAUUAAGGGCUUCCGUGGCAGUGGGAAAUUGUUUUGUGUGAAGAAGGUAACAACAAACCAUUACGCCUGUCCGACCUUUGCCCGCUUUACAAUGAACUACGGCUAUGUUUUCUUGGUGCUGGGAGAGCCACUGAUGCACGUCUUCGCAAAAUGGUUUGAUCUGAUCUAACAUCGGUGGAUUAUGAUCAUCGAAUGCCUGGGAAACCCAUUGCUAUUAAAUUAUCCCUUAUAUCUGUUAAUAAUAUACGUGCAAUUAAGGAACAAUACCAACGAAAUAAUAUAGCUGCGUCGAUGAUAAAUUAACGAUAAAUGGACAAAUUAUAUGGAAUGUUUUAAAAGAUGAAAAGUAGAAAAUGGAUAUAAGCAUCGACGAUUACAAUAAAAAGGAUACAUGUGAGAUCAAGAUUAAAACCAUCUUCUGUGAAACGCUUGCGACGUUUGCUUACUAACCCCUUGAUACGUUUCAGGAACAAAAUCAUUCAAGUUACCUGUGGCUUACGAGCAGAGGCUUCACAAGAGCCCAGUUCCGGUUGUCUUCGCUCCUCCAGACAAACAUGGAGGGGUGUUACCGAUGAGAUAUGCUCUGAUAUUUUGUUUAUCCUG